GCUUGCUCAAGCCCCUCUCACUCUGUGGAGUAUACUUUCACUUCAAUACACCUAUGCUUUCAUGUUCCAUUGCUUUGUUUUGUUCAAUCUUUGUUCACCAUGCCAAGAACCUGGACAACUUGUAGUGAAGACCUUCCACACCAGUAACAUAUUUUGGUGAGCCAGUCGGGAGCACGAAUGGUUAGAAAGAUGAACUUGGAACCUCAGACGAGAAUAUGAGAAACAUAAACAGAGACAUAUGACAACCUAAAAAAUGGAGUACAAUACCAAUAAGAAUAACGAUUAUCUUACCAAUAUAAGCUUCAGAAUCACCAAUGUACAUUUCGAUGCAAUGACCAAGCAUUGUAACAGAAAAUGUAUCAUCUCGCCUAAGACCAAGGGCCUGCCAUAAAAGAUUCAGCAUGGUUAUUAAAAGAAAACAUAUUUCCUUCUCUUA
rnacentral:lncRNA from 1 species